rnacentral:rRNA from 11 species
CUUAACAGGGUGUAAAUUCCCUAAAGUCAACAGAUCCUGUCUGAUCUUGGAAGCUAAUAAGGGUCAGCCCUGGUUAAUACUUGGAUGGGAGACUGUCAAUGAAUACCAAGUGCUGUAGGA